rnacentral:pre_miRNA from 14 species
GAUAAAGGACUGAACCUCUGAACCUGUAAGUGAAAGACCCCCGAAGGGAGCCCCCCACUCAAGUCUCGGGAAAGACGCGCACCCAGUAGGACACAGACACCG